GAGAGGACCGGGAUGGACAUACCUCUGGUGUACCAGUUGUCGUGCCAACGGCAUAGCUGGGUAGCUAUGUAUGGACGGGAUAAGUGCUGAAAGCAUCUAAGCAUGAAGCCCCCCUCAAGAUGAGAUUUCCCAACUUCGGUUAUAAGAUCCCUCGAAGAUGACGAGGUUAAUAGGUUCGAGGUGGAAGCGUGGUGACACGUGGAGCUGACGAAUACUAAUCGAUCGAAGACUUAAUCAA
rnacentral:rRNA from 1 species